rnacentral:snRNA from 1 species
GGAUGUAAGUGCAAUCUGGCUGCAACAUCUGCCACCCCACUGAUAGGCAGGGUUGACUCGGCUGAGCUGGCUGCCUAGGCAGGUGUCCGCUUCCCCCUGCAACACUCCAUGUGCGUCCCUCCUCAAGCGCACAUCCUGUCGACGAGGAUGACCACCUCCAACUGAGAAGACCUGCUCCUCAGUCAGAGGUAUAGAGUAGCUGUGUGCCCCUGCUAGACCUCUGAACAAGCUCUCCAAAGAAAAAAAUAAAAAGGGCUGUAAAUGUAGCUCCAUGGGAAUGCCCUGGCUUCAAUCCAAAGUAAACAAACGAUCCAAAAUUAGUUUUUUGUUUUU